CACACGUGCGAUUGGCGCCAGCGAGAGCUUUAUAUAUACAGAAUAAACUUGCUUAAUUAGAAAUGCUCUCUGAUUUAGCUAAACCUUUUCCAGACCAGUGAAGCACCCCAACUUCUCUUUCAGGUAAUUGUCAGCAACACAGCAGUAA